GUGGCCGUUGAAGCUUGAAGUUUUUAGAUUUUGGUUUUGUUUUCAUUGAAUAAUGUUUCUUAUUUCAUGCGAACUUGAUUUUGGUUUUAUGCUCUCAUUUAUUUGGUUUUGUUUUUAUCAAUAACUAUGUUUACCUUUUGUUUGAUUUUGAAUGAUCACGUUUGAUAUUUCUAUCUUAUUUUUUAAUUGAUUUUAUAUGUUUUGAUUACAAAAUAGGUAUAAAUCAAGUACUUUUAAACCGAAGAACCGAUUGGGACCCGAAUCCGAAAGCAUAAUGGGUUGUACCGGUUCUUUGAAGAUUUACUAAUCCCAACCCAAACCGGAUAGAACCCGAACCGGUCCUGAACCGAAUUUUCAUAUAACCC
rnacentral:lncRNA from 1 species